GACGGAGGGUGCAAACGUUGUUCGGAAUCACUGGGCAUAAAGAGCACGUAGGCUGCGCGCUAAGUCAGGUGUGAAAUCCCCCGGCUCAACCGGGGAACUGCACCUGAUACUGGCGUGCUCGAGGACGGUAGGGGUGAGUGGAACUCCAGGUGGAGCGGUGAAAUGCGUAGAUAUCAGGAAGAACACCCGUGGCUAAGGCGGCUCUCUAGUACGGUACUGACGCUGAGACGCGAAAGCGUGGGGAGCGAACAGG
rnacentral:rRNA from 1 species